ACUUUCAGCAGUGGAUG
rnacentral:rRNA from 14 species